rnacentral:rRNA from 1 species
UACGUAGGAUGCAAGCGUUGUCCGGAUUUACUGGGCGUAAAGGGCUCGUAGGCGGCCAACUAAGUCGGACGUGAAAUCCCUCAGCUUAACUGGGGAACUGCGUCCGAUACUGGAUGGCUUGGAUUUGGGAGAGGGAUGCGGAAUUCCAGGUGUAGCGGUGAAAUGCGUAGAUAUCUGGAGGAACACCGGUGGCGAAGGCGGCAUCCUGGACCAAUAUUGACGCUGAGGAGCGAAAGCUAGGGGAGCAAACGGG